rnacentral:rRNA from 1 species
GACGAACGCUGGCGGCGUGCCUAAUACAUGCAAGUUGAGCGGAACUGGGGGAGCUUGCUCCUUCCAGUUUAGCGGCGGACGGGUGAGUAACACGUGGGCAACCUGCCCUGCAGAUCGGGAUAACUCCGGGAAACCGGUGCUAAUACCGAAUAGUUUGGCGCCUCUCCUGAGGCGCUACGGAAAGACGGUUUCGGCUGUCACUGCAGGAUGGGCCCGCGGCGCAUUAGCUAGUUGGUGGGGUAACGGCCCACCAAGGCGACGAUGCGUAGCCGACCUGAGGGGGUGACCGGCCACACUGGGACUGAGACGCGGCCCAGACUCCUACGGGAGGCAGCAGUAGGGAAUCUUCCGCAAUGGACGCAAGUCUGACGGAGCAACGCCGCGUGAGUGACGAAGGUUUUCGGAUCGUAAAACUCUGUUGUGAGGGAAGAACACGUACCAACUAACUAUUGGUACCUUGACGGUACCUCGCCAGAAAGCCACGGCUAACUACGUGCCAGCAGCCGCGGUAA